AUCGCUUCUCGGCCUUUUGGCUAAGAUCAAGUGUAGUAUCUGUUCUUAUCAGUUUAAUGUCUGAUACGUCUCCUAUCCGGGGAGGUCCGUGUACGUUUUGAUAGUUUGUUUUUUCGUUUACACCAAAAAACAAAAUAACGAGAAACCACACGUUUUUUGUUUGUCGUUUCAAACAAAAAAACAAAAACC